rnacentral:rRNA from 1 species
AGAGUUUGAUCCUGGCUCAGAACGAACGCUGGCGGCGUGGAUAGGACAUGCAAGUCGAGCGCUCAUUAUCGGGUAGCAAUAUUCGGUAGUGGGAGCGGCGCAAGGGUGCGUAACACGUGGGCAAUCUGCCGUGAAGUUGGGGAUAACUCGCUGAAAGGCGAGCUAAUACCGAAUGUGAUUAUCAGGAGGCAUCUUUUGGUAAUCAAAGCUGGGGACCGAAAGGCCUGGCGCUUUACGAUGAGCCCGCGGCCUAUCAGCUAGUUGGUGAGGUAACGGCUCACCAAGGCUAAGACGGGUAGCUGGUCUGAGAGGACGACCAGCCACACUGGAACUGAGACACGGUCCAGACACCUACGGGUGGCAGCAGUCGAGAAUUUUUCACAAUGGGCGCAAGCCUGAUGGAGCGACGCCGCGUGGGGGAUGAAGGUCUUCGGAUUGUAAACCCCUGUCAUGCGCGAACAAACCUUUUGACCUAACACGUUGAGAGCUGAUUGUAGCGCAAGAGGAAGGGACGGCUAACUCUGUGCCAGCAGCCGCGGUAAUACAGAGGUCCCGAGCGUUGUUCGGAUUCACUGGGCGUAAAGGGUGCGUAGGCGGUCGGGUAAGUCUGAUGUGAAAGCUCGCAGCUCAACUGCGAAAUGGCAUUGGAUACUAUUCGGCUAGAGGCUUGGAGGGGGGACUGGAAUUCUCGGUGUAGCAGUGAAAUGCGUAGAUAUCGAGAGGAACACCGGUGGCGAAGGCGAGUCCCUGGACAAGACCUGACGCUGAGGCACGAAAGCUAGGGGAGCAAACAGGAUUAGAUACCCU